rnacentral:rRNA from 1 species
AACGGCCGCGGUAUCCUAACCGUGCAAAGGUAGCAUAAUCACUUGCCUAUUAAUUGUAGGCUAGAAUGAAAGGGUUAACGAAAUAAAGACUGUCUCAGUUAGCCAGCUAAAAAUUAAUAUCUAUCUGAAGAAGGGUAGAUACACUCGAAGGACAAGAAGACCCUAUAGAGCUUAAUUUUACUUAUAGAACCUCACUAUAAAAAUAUUCGGUUGGGGCGACCCCGGGUAAAAUAAUCACCCAAAUUAUAAAAGAUACAUUAAUCAAACAACUGACCCUUAAAAGAUCAUAAAAACAAGCUACCUUAGGGAUAACAGGCUAAUCCCACUCAAGAGUCCUUAUCAACAGUGGGGUUUGGCACCUCGAUGUUGGCUUAGG